GCACAAGCGGUGGAGCAUGUGGUUUAAUUCGAAGCAACGCGAAGAACCUUACCAAAUCUUGACAUCCUUUGACCGCUCUAGAGAUAGAGUUUUCCCCUUCGGGGGACAAAGCGACAGGUGGUGCAUGGUUGUCGUCAGCUCGUGUCGUGAGAUGUUGGGUUAAGUCCCGCAACGAGCGCAACCCUUAAGCUUAGUUGCCAUCAUUAAGUUGGGCACUCUAGGUUGACUGCCGGUGACAAACCGGAGGAAGGUGGGGAUGACGUCAAAUCAUCAUGCCCCUUAUGAUUUGGGCUACACACGUGCUACAAUGGAUAAUACAAAGGGCAGCGAACCCGCGAGGUCAAGCAAAUCCCAUAAAAUUAUUCUCAGUUCGGAUUGUAGUCUGCAACUCGACUACAUGAAGCUGGAAUCGCUAGUAAUCGUAGAUCAGCAUGCUACGGUGAAUACGUUCCCGGGC
rnacentral:rRNA from 1 species